rnacentral:lncRNA from 1 species
UCCAUAUCUGUAGUUUCCUAUGAUCAGAUAUUUUCUUUUUAUGUUCUGGUGGGAUUCUUGUUACACACAUACAUGUGUUAUGAACAAUUAUUUUAUAUAGAUCUUACAUCUAAGAACUAUUAUCCCCUCCUCUGUACUACUCGUCCAAAACAUUAUUAAAAUUCAGCUACAGAAGGAAGAACCUGAUGUGUAAGAGUUCAGAAGUCCUGUUCAACAGUUUUUAAUUCCCCAAAGGAAGAUGGGAGCUGUGCCAAGAGCUAGAGAGAGCUUGGUAUGAAUUUUAGCUCUGACUCAGCUUCACCUUGAACGGAGACCCAGGUGCAGGCUGUUCCCUCUACCCCCUGCUUCUUUCUGGAAAGAUGCCCAGAGGCACAGGAAAGGGCUCCGGCAGGUCUGUGAAUGGGGUGCUCAGUCCGCUGGGUGCAUCACAGGGUGAAUUUGCUCUGGGAAUGGGGCCUGGCUGAGGUGUGCGGCCUACGGAUGCAACAGCCACCCUGCAGUGCACAUACAGCCGGCGUCAUCCCACCCUGCUUCAGGUUGGUGGGACCACAGCUGGCGAGGCAUGAGCACCCUGAAAAGUCCCUGCUAAGAUGUUUAAAAAGAGGUGUCCAGAAGAAGCUCUGCUAGGACACCUGUUGGUGAUAAAGCCAUGGGAACAACUGAGGCUAUUUCCUUCAUCCUCUACUACAUCAGCUGCAGCAUCCUGUGGGUGCCGUACAGGGACAGAGCCAGGGAAGGACGCAAGGCUCCUUGAACUCAGCCUUCUGGAAAUGAGGCCAGUGGCCAGUUGCACGAGCCUCAGAACCAGUUUGAAGAAGAUGCCUGUGUGAGAACAACAUUAAAUGCCUGAGGCUGGACAGGAGCUGAGGCAGAUCCUGCAGCAGGAAGAGGCUGCAGACUCCAGCAUCAGCUGGAAAUGCCUCCUUCCUCCUACUGUGAGCCCUUGUGUUCCUCCUCUCCUAAGGCCUCCUGUGUUAGGUAGCAUGUACUUUAUGGCUCUUGCUCAUGCAAAUGUGUGAUAUAGCUCUGUUUGGCAGGAAGUUUACUGUGGAGUUGAUUAAGAAGGUAAGCAGGUAAUCUCCCUUCAGGGUUAGAUUUGGUGGUUUUAAGGUAUUUUCUAGACUACUGAUUUUAACUAAAAUGUGUCUUUGAAAGCAUUUGACUCCCUCACAGUACAAGAUAUCCAGAUAUCUUAAAUAAGUG